GUUUUUCACUUUUACCUUUUCACUCUAUGUUUCUCUGUGAUACAGUUCCGGCAAUGAAAACAAAAAGAGUUCUGCCGUAAGAAUCUCCCCCAAAUUCAACGGUGAAAGUGCAAAGUCUGAUCAAAAUUCAACCAAAAAUCACACUAGAGAAAUCCAUUACACCAAAAAAAUGAGACACGUGCUCGUUCACCGACAUUCACUUCUUCAAGAGUUACAUCUCCACGGGCGUAGUGAGCAUUAUCUUGCACUUGAGUGCCCUCACGGUUCGCUCGUCUUUGCUCACAUCGAAUUUGUUUCCUGGAACACUUUUCAUCCAUUAAUUGUACCUUCUAUAUCUUGUUAUGGCGAAAAGAAGAUGUGUGCUUUCAAAGAAGGAUAUUGAUGAGCUUUCUUUGUAUUUUUCUUUUUUCGGGGCUCAUUUGUAUCGGUUGCACACUUACCUUUAGUUUAUUUGUUCCAUGUCUUUGCUUUAGAGUAUGGUGCAUGGUAAUUUUAAUUCUUCUAUAAUGCAUGUUGUGCUGUGUUCACACCUGCCAUGUACUUCUCAAUUCUUUGUUGCUUGUAUUUGUUUUGCUGGGAAUUUAAUAUUAAAUCUCUGUUCAAAUGUCUUACACGGCCAUGUGACAACUUCAAAACGUUUAGGUUUUAGCUUACCUUAUCCAUCUACAAAUGUUAUGGCUAUGCCAAUAUUUUUGGCCGGGAGUGUUCACCUGCUCUGACUACUCGGUCGAGAAGCUUAAGAGGUGGGCUGCGUGAUCUGGGUUGCCGUUACAUGAUGUGCUAGCACUUGUUGCAAAAUUUGGACUCCGAGGUUCGAGUGGCAGUGUAGAAUGAACAAGCAAGGACUUCUAUUUCAUUAAGCGUAUCAGGUUAAGCUGUGAUGCAGAUGGUAGCAAGCAGAGCAAAGUCUUUGAUGUAUAUAUAUUAAACCAGGCUCAGGAUUUCAUGUCUUCAUACAUGUAAUCCACAUGAAUUAUUCCGCUGCAACACUUAAUCUAUUCUACUUUAUUGAUGUGUUGUACAGAUUUUAAAUCAAUAGCUUUAAGAAUUAUGUCACUUCAAAGUUAGACAACUUGUCGUUGUGUAUUGUAAGUUGUCUACUCAUGAGUUUUAAAAGUGGUUGCCUACGAUUAUUCAAUACUAUAGUGAUUGCUUAUGAUUACUAAGUAUUAUGGUAAAUUAUUAUUAUUAU